rnacentral:lncRNA from 1 species
AUCUUAAGGGAGCAUUCCCAAACAUUCAACUCUACACAAUUACCAUUUCUUUGAUACCCGUCUUUUUUCUUUUCUUUUUCUUUUCACAUCCACACAACCAUGAGCCUUUUCUUUGUUUUUUUUUCUUUGCUCUAUGGUUUCAAGGGUGAUUUCUUUUUCUUGUUUCUUUUCAUACUUUCACCCUUUCAUAAAAACUCACUUCUCCAAGUUUCUAAUCAACUAUUUUUUUUUCUUUACUCUCCCCAACUUUAGAUUCCAAAACCAAAUCUAUUCAAUAAUGCUCUCUACUUAGACAUAAGCAAAAGGAAAAAAAUUUCAAACAACUCGGUUUGAGGGUUCAAUUAACACGAAAGAAA